ACCUGUUCCCAUCCCGAACACAGAAGUGAAACGCAGCAUCGCCGAUGAUAGUGUGGGGUCUCCCCAUGUGAAAGUAGGUCAACGCCAGGC
rnacentral:rRNA from 3 species